rnacentral:tRNA from 1 species
GUUUUUAUAGUUUAAAAAAAACCUUGAUUUUGUAAAUCAAUAUUAAGAAUACUCUUUAAAAACU